ensembl:lncRNA
GGGAAGGAAAACAGCUGUUAUGCUGAGGGACAGCGCUUGCACGAGAACAAAAGGAUAUGAACAGGCCAUGAAUACAUUUGUGAAUAUGAUUAUGGGACAUGGUGUUUACAAUAGCAAAGGACUUGCCUCAGUGACCAGGACGCCCCACUGGUUUUAAGGGUGUAACAUCCCUGUGUAUUUGUCACAGAAAGACAUAUUCAGAGCAAGAGCACCUAACCCCCCACCGCCCACAUCCCAAGUCAUGCAGGAGAUGGGAAAAGCAGUUCCUGAUGUCAGUGAGAGAAAGGGAGAUAAAAGAGAAGGGACAGCCGAAAUCACACCUCACAGGAAGAGCGACGUGAACUUUGAAAACUGGGGCAGUUGUUGGAACUUGCUUACCUGCAGGGGCAGCAGUGCGGAUGAAAGAGAUCCCUACGAACGAAACAGAAACUGACAGAGGGAGCAUGCAGUCACACUGGCGUCUGCAUCACGGUAAGGACAUGAAGGCGUUAAUCCAGCAAACCUCAGAAGUCACAGAGGAGACCUAUGGGAUUUCUGCUGCAGUCAGCGGGGCUGCUCACAGUUUUAAAGCCAUGCUUUGCUGAAGGAAGUCUCUCAAGCUCAGCUUUCAAGGGACUGAGAAGCUUUUGAAAAUCGGGUACUGAGCAUCCAGUUUUAAUUGGGAAUAAUGCUUUCUCUUCUCCAUAUAAUACACCUGAACUUCAGGAACCAGUCAAAUUAACUUAGCUUUCCUGUAUUAUGCAAUAUAUAUUGCCUCCAGAUACUCACCUUGAAGCCAGUACCUAUUUCCUAGCCAGAAGGCUGAAAAAUACUCUGAGAAAUGUCUCUGAAAUCGUUAUUUCUGAAAUGUGAUAAUCCAGCUUGAAGGAGAAGAAAGCAGUAAACCUAUUUUUGAGUAUGCUAAGGGAUUUUUUUUCCUUUAUGUCUCUUCCUCUCUAUCCAAAUCCUUGAGUCCGCUUAUUGCCUUCUCCUUUGAUUGAAAUGCUUCAUUGCUGAAGGGCUGCUUCUGCUGGACUCUGGCUGCUGGUGAGCACUUUAGUUUCAAAACGUGCACACAGAGAAUGUGUCAUUAGGGAAGAAGGUGCUGCUGAGGGGAAGUCAAGGUUAAGGUUAUCUCCUCUGAAUAUCAGACAAGAUGCUAAAGAGGUAUCUUUAUUUUCACAUAUAUAUUUAAAAAAUGAUUUUAAAACCUCUACUGAAG